GAGUAAGGGCUGUUUACAAACUUGACGUACACGCUCAGUCCUAUCGGGAAGGUUCUGGGAUUGGGGGUUACAGCCUUGGGCUCUGGGGCGCUCCGAUGCUUUGGGAUCCCGCGCCCGACUUAAACCCACCCAGACCAUACCUUUUCAAAGGACAGCAAGAUUCCAAGCAUCUCGGGGCAACGGUGACUCACUGCAGCGCCCUCACCUCUUUCGCCAAACUGCCGUCCCCGCCGACCCCCAAAUAAUCUCAGCAACGCGCCGCGGCUUCAGGCGCUUUGCCAGGGGAGAAAGGGGUUCAACUCCAUCCCCAUAUGCCAGCAAGCUAAACGCCCCACCCGCCUUCGGAGUCUUCAAGAUUGCCUCGCUCCCCAGCAGACCAUUCGGCUAAGGGGCAGAGAUGGAUAGGACACCCACAUGCGGCAUUCUGGAUCCACUAAAAGCAGCGCGCAGAGGAGGCAACCAAGCGCUUGAGAGAUGGAAGACACAGACUUCAAGGCCUGAAUCCUGCAUCUACCUCUGGAUCACAGGGCUUGGUCUCUCAUCCAGAUCAUGUGAACCAAAAGAGGGACAGAGGAGCUUCUCUCCAUGAAAACAAAGAUCUAGAUUCCAAUCUUCGGUCUGGUGGCUUCUAGCUGACUGCAAAUCACUACUGUGACCUUGAAUCUCUCUGGGCCUCAGUUUCAUCACCUGAAAAAAUGGAAAUGGAAGAAAAAUUACUUCUGUACCCUCCUGACUCUCUAAGACGUGGAGGAAAGAAAUGGGGACAUGUUUCCUCGGUGUUUUGGACUUGUCAGAAGGCAGACCAUAUGAGACUCUGAACUACAGGGAGCACCAAUGAUAUCAUUGGCUAUGUGGAUGGUGUCCUUAGAGCUGGAUGGGACACAGACUGCAUAACUGUAUUCAGUGGCACUGAUUCAACAACAUAUACUGGAAAGAAAAUACAGAAAUAAGUAUCAUGGCGGAACCCAUAUGCCCACAGCCGGCACCCCGUCGUUUUCUGAGUUGCAGUGUGAUGAAAUGCUGCUGGCAACAUCUGCUUAGUGAGGCAGGAGCCUCCUCCUCUCAAGCAGCCCCUGCAUCUGUUCAACCCCCCAAGAGAGAAUGAAAGAGAGAAAACCAACUCUACUGACAGAAGGAAGAACAGGCCUCAGUGGCAUGAAAAAAUCAAAGCAAGGUUUUGAAAUCAUUUCUUUGGUAGUUGGAGCAGACAGAUGUAGAGAAGCAGUUCUUGAAGAACCACUUGCAGAUGUCAGAAAACACAAGGUUUCUGGAAGCUACACAGAAGGUCUGCUCUUUCACGGAGGAACAGUGGCACCCUGGGCAUGAGGGGCCAGAGGUUAAGCAUCAUUUUAGGGUGUGUUUGGGGGAACUGUUUAUAAAUUUACCAGAGUCUGGUUCUCAAUUUGGCAAUCGCUGUUCUCCUGAGUGAUCCCCUCCCCUGUGUCUGACGUCAUUCCCUCGCACUGCACUUUCUCUUUCCCAUGAAGAUCAAGAGUGCAGUGGUCUGAGAGGACUUUGCUUGUGGAAUGAAGGUCUCUCAGCUGACAGUGUACUCCAUUCUCCCUCCAGGAUCCUGAGAACAGCCAUGCAGUCAUGUCAAGUCAUCCAUCUAAAAGUCUGUUUCUGAAAGCGGUAGGUUGCUUGACUGCUUUUGGUCCCUCAGUAACAAACCUGAGACAGUGAAAGGACUGUUGGGUGAGUGCUCUGAAAAGGCAGGAGCACCACCAAAAUAUACUUGGGAGAUAACAAGGAAGAGAAGGAUAGAAUCCAUUCCUUCUGGGAGGCCCCAGUUUCACAGCCUCAGUUCACCCUCUGACCUCAUGGCAACUCAAAAGCAGAUUCCAUCCUUUACAUCCACCAUCUAUAUACAUGUGGAAUGUAUAUAUAUAACAGUGGCAACUCAUAUUUGUUAACAUAUUUUAAUGUUCUGAAAGCACUGCUCAUGGGUGUUGACUUGUUUAAUCUCAUUCAAACAGCAGAGCAACCCAGUUAAUGGGAUAUGAUAAUUUAAAUCUCUUUUGGCAAAUGAGGAAACUGAAGAACAAAAGUUCAAUGACUUGACGAGGUCAGGGCUGGUGAAGGAGAGGGCGCGUGACUCAAGCCGAGGUGCCCUGAGUCAAACUGUCAUGUUUCCUCCCUGACAAGGUAAGGGUGUCUGGUACCAGAUUUGUGCAGAGCAAGAACAGUGGCAUCGCACUCUUUCUACCCAUCUCUCUCUUCUUCCUGUGUCUCUCUUUACUCAAGGUCUCUCUUCUCCUCCUCUCCUUUCCCCUCCUCCUCUCCUUCCUCCAUCUUUCCCUUCUCCUUCUUCCUCUCUCUAUCUCAACUUGGAGGUAAAUGUCCUCCAGGGUGAAAUGUGCAGAAGUAGCCUCACCUACAAUUGUGAUCCUGUGGCAGACACCCCAAGGGGAGUAAUGUAAGGAGACAUUCAUAAGUGCCUCCAGGGCCCUGAGCUGGCCAUGUGCCUUGAGGCCUUACAGGAGGUGAAACUCGCUCUAGAAACUACAUCUUGGAUGGUAUCUCAUGACCACACAGGCUCCCACAGAGGGAGAGAUGAUCCAUGUCACAGAGUCAAGGCCAAACCCAGAGUCCCUCAAGACCUUUCCUGGUUCCUUUAUAUUCAUCACACUUUGAGCUACAUGCCUGUCCAUUGUCGGUCUCCCCAUUUGACUGGGUGAUAUCAGGCAUAAGGACCAUGAGGACUGGGUAUGCCUUGUUAACCUCUGUCCCCUUGGUUCAGAGCACUGUAAGCCCUCACAGAUAUGUGGUGAGUAAGCAAAUGAAUGAAUAAAAAAAUGAUGCAAUAACAGUAGCUUAAUAUGUCAUUCUCUCCAUUCUCUUCUUGCACUUUGAAAGAAGAUUCUAAUGAAGAAUGUGUUUUAACAUCAUUAAAAUUUUCAUGUGGAAGGAGUUCUACAUGGAAGGCCCAUUCUGGAGUGAGUGAUGAGGAGUGCAUCUGUCCAGCGUUUCUCCAAAUGGUACACAGCAGAUGCCCUGGCAUUAAAUCAAUCUCAUCCCCAAGACCAAGGGAGGUUAGAUCUCAAAGAACAGGAAAAUUGAGGAAGCCGGGGAAAAAAGGCAGUGGGGGUCUGACUUUUUUCCACCCAGAUGUUCCCUCUGUGAACCUCUGGUUAUUCUAUCCUGAAUGUGAGGUUAAAUGUGUAGAGGUCUGCAGCCACAGUCUAGGAGGCAAAGUUCUUGUUGGACAAUAAAAAUUCAAGCCCACUGCUGGCCCUGCUGGGUCCAUCUGUUAUUGGAAUUAAGUUCCCCAUCUCAUUCCAAUCAAACUGCAAAAGCUCUCUGGCAGGAUGUCAGGUUUCAAACAGAAAUGUCAGCCAAGGACUCCUGAGGCCAAAGUCUGAUCAGAGCAAACUUGAAUCAAUUUACGUAUUAGGCAGAAAUUUAUAGGGAAUUUAGUGGUGUGGUGGGCCUAUUUGUUAAGUAUUCCUCAUUUGCAUGCUCUGGACUAAAAAUCUACAAGGAGCUAUGUAUAAAAAUCAACGUCAAAGGCCAAUGUAACUUCUAUCCAAAGGGAGCAUAUAUCCAUAAAAGAAUGUGAAGGGCUGACCAGAGUGAUUUUCUUCCCCAAUAUAAGAGCAAAAAGAGCUUGAAUAUGUUCUAAGCCCAGUUUAAACCUAAGCCCCAAUUUAAACCUUGAUCUAUGACUCGGGCAAAACUAACCCUAAUAAUAAUAAUAAUAAUAACCUUCAUUGACUAUUUAGUAUAUGCUAGACUCUGUGCUAUGUACUUUGCAUAAAAUGGUAUACCUUCUCUAUGUGCUGACAAUAAAACAAUGCUUAAGACAUUCUUAAUUUAAAACAUUUACAAAGCAUGGUAUUAUCCAAUGAUAUCA